GGUGCCAUAGCCAAGUGGUAAGGCAGUGGACUGCAACUCCAUGACCCCCGGUUCAACUCCGGGUGGCACCU
rnacentral:tRNA from 1 species